rnacentral:tRNA from 1 species
GCCUGGGUGGCUCAGUUGGUUAAGCAUCCGACUUCAGCUCAGGUCAUGAUCUCACGGUUCGUGGGUUCGAGCCCCACGUCGGGCU